AUACGAAGGGGGCUAGCGUUGCUCGGAUUUACUGGGCGUAAAGGGCGCGUAGGCGGACAGUUAAGUUAGGGGUGAAAUCCCGGGGCUCAACCUCGGAACUGCCUUUAAAACUGGCUGUCUUGAGUACGGGAGAGGUGUGUGGAACUCCGAGUGUAGAGGUGAAAUUCGUAGGUAUUCGGAAGAACACCAGUGGCGAAGGCGACACACUGGCCCGUUACUGACGCUGAGGCGCGAAAGCGUGGGGAGCAAACAGGAUUAGAUACCCUGGUAGUCCACGCCGUAAACGAUGAUGACUAGUUGUCGGCAUGCAUGCAUGUCGGUGACGCAGCUAACGCAUUAAGUCAUCCGCCUGGGGAGUACGGUCGCAAGAUUAAA
rnacentral:rRNA from 1 species